rnacentral:rRNA from 1 species
UACGUAGGGUGCGAGCGUUGUCCGGAAUUAUUGGGCGUAAAGGGCUCGUAGGCGGUUUGUCGCGUCGGGAGUGAAAACUCAGGGCUUAACCCUGAGCCUGCUUCCGAUACGGGCAGACUAGAGGUAUGCAGGGGAGAACGGAAUUCCUGGUGUAGCGGUGAGAUGCGCAGAUAUCAGGAGGAACACCGGUGGCGAAGGCGGAUCUCUGGGCAGUAACUGACGCUGAGGAACGAAAGCGUGGGUAGCGAACAGG